CCUACGGGCGGCUGCAGUGGGGGAUAUUGCACAAUGGGCGAAAGCCUGAUGCAGCAACGCCGCGUGAGGGAAGACGGUUUUCGGAUUGUAAACCUCUGUCUUUGGUGAAGAAAGAAAUGACGGUAGCCGAGGAGGAAGCCACGGCUAACUACGUGCCAGCAGCCGCGGUAAUACGUAGGUGGCAAGCGUUGUCCGGAAUUACUGGGUGUAAAGGGAGCGCAGGCGGGAGAGCAAGUCAGCUGUGAAAACUAUGGGCUUAACCCAUAAACUGCAGUUGAAACUGUUUUUCUUGAGUGGAGUAGAGGUAGGCGGAAUUCCGAGUGUAGCGGUGAAAUGCGUAGAUAUUCGGAGGAACACCAGUGGCGAAGGCGGCCUACUGGGCUCUAACUGACGCUGAGGCUCGAAAGUGUGGGGAGCAAACAGGCUUAGAUACCCGAGUAGUC
rnacentral:rRNA from 1 species